ensembl:lncRNA
AGUGGAUGCAGACUGUGAGUGAUUGGCACUAGCUCAUUCAGCUGGGCAAGAAACAGGUGUUAAAGUGACUUCUCCCAUCCUACCCCUGGCAACAGUUUCUCUUCAGUUUCUGCCAGGAUUGUCUAUCGUCUCCGUAAAUUUCUACCCAAGAAUCUGGGGAGGACUCCUGCAAAUCAGGGCACGGCUGCAUAACAAAAUGGCCUCUAGCUCGAAAUUCACUGAUGCCUAUAGGAUCACCUUGGUCUUCUCUGGGAAGGUUAGGGAUAGUUAGCAGAAGAGUGGGAGGUGUACCAGAUGGAGAUGAGGCUAUCCUGGAGCAGGCGCAGCUAAUGAUGACACCAAAAUGGGGAGUGAGCAGUUUUGAAUCCUUAGGCCAGUAGACUUUUUGUAGCUUCAGAAGUAUCCUAAGAAAGAAUCUUUAAUGCUGCCUCCUCAUUCUAGGAUUUGGAAGUAUUUUGGUGCUUGCUAUUUACAAGUGCAUGAAGCAAAGUCAGUUUUUCUUUGAACAUAUGCUUUAGCAAAGUUUAGUCUUCCUCCACCUGGUUAUUUGAAGUUAAUUGUGAAGUUAAUUCCCCUAAAUGCAUGUUUCAAAUUACUGACAUUAUUUUCCUUUAGUUUUACUUUUAUAAAAAAGAGACAAACAAUAGAAAAACAAUUCCAAAACAGGAAAUAAAAAAUAAAAUUCUAUGGUGCAGAUUCAACCUAAUGUCGAGGAUUCCUUUUGUUUAUACCGCUGGACUAGGGUAAUUGGUCUACUGGCCUUUAGCCGAGUGUUCUGUGUGUCCAGCAGAGUGCUGUUAGAGGACGUGAGGCAGAGACCCUGCUUGCUGCUCUGGUGCCAGUGCUGGCCGUGAGACUUGGCUGGUGAACUGGUAGGGGGCUCAUUAGAAGUCCACUUGCUUGAGGUACUGAGGGCUCCUGGAAGCAAACCUAGCCUAAGGGAAGAGGCAACCGGAUCUACAGACUUAACCCAGUAAUAAAGCCUUUCUUAGAAGUUGGAUAAGGGGGUGCUGAAUCUGUCACUCUGCUUUUUUCCUGGCUGCUUUCCAAUAAACUCGUGUCCCAGGAAAAAGGGUUCCCUAAAUAAGGACUGUUUCCCUAAAAACUCUCAUAAGACAUUGCGGGUACAAGGAACAGGACCCAGGGGCCGUGAGAUGAUGAUCAGUGGACAUGACAACCUUCAGGGAGGGCAGCAAGUGCGCUAGGCAGAUGUGAUGGUGAUGACUGCGGUGACAGCAGAGGCAGCAGAGCCUGUGGAAGCGCUGUGGAGGCAGCGUGGAAACCUGCGGAUGAGGCUGUCUUGGAUGAGCAUCAUGGUGCUCAGCUGAGGCUGAUUACC